rnacentral:rRNA from 1 species
CAGUCGCCACGGUAAUACGAAGGUCCCGAGCGUUGUUCGGAAUCACUGGGCGUAAAGGGAGCGUAGGCGGCGUGGUAAGUCAGAUGUGAAACCCCGGGGCUCAACCCCGGAACUGCAUCCGAUACUGCCAUGCUAGAGGAUUGGAGAGGUAGCUGGAAUUCUUGGUGUAGCAGUGAAAUGCGUGGAGAUCAAGAGGAACACUCGUGGCGAAAGCGAGCUACUGGACAAUAACUGACGCUGAGGCUCGAAGGCCAGGGUAGCGAAAGGGAUUAGAUACCCCCGUAGUCCCUGUCUCUUAUAC